AUUGAACGCUGGCGGCAGGCCUAACACAUGCAAGUCGAGCGGAUGAAGGGAGCUUGCUCCUGGAUUCAGCGGCGGACGGGUGAGUAAUGCCUAGGAAUCUGCCUGGUAGUGGGGGAUAACGUCCGGAAACGGGCGCUAAUACCGCAUACGUCCUGAGGGAGAAAGUGGGGGAUCUUCGGACCUCACGCUAUCAGAUGAGCCUAGGUCGGAUUAGCUAGUUGGUGGGGUAAAGGCCUACCAAGGCGACGAUCCGUAACUGGUCUGAGAGGAUGAUCAGUCACCUGGGAACUGGAACACGCCCCAGCCUCCUACGGGAGCCGGCAGGGGGGUAUUUUGGAGAAGGGCCGAAACCUUUCUCCCCCCUUCCCGGGUGUGGAAAGAAUGUCUUCGUUUUUUAAACCUUUUUAUUUUGGGAGAAAGGGCAUUAAUUUAAUCCCUUCCUUUUUUGACUUUCCCAACAAAAUAGCCCCCGCCUACUUUCGUC
rnacentral:rRNA from 1 species